rnacentral:sRNA from 1 species
AAAAGUCUGGACACCUACUGUUUCCUAGUCUUUGCUACAAUUUGUAUCACAGGUGCUAUCUACCUAUAUUUUGUGCUGCCUGAGACCAAAAACAGAACCUAUGCAGAAAUCAGCCAGGCAUUUUCCAAAAGGAACAAAGCAUACCCACCAGAAGAGAAAAUUGACUCAGCUGUCACUGAUGUGGUCUCGUGUCAAGAUGGCAGACCUGCAGAGAUGAAUGUGCCUGGAUACCUGAGUCACCAGGUGGAGGAAACUCCCAUUGACCUGCAUCACACUCCACGUAUGAAACCCUUCUUUUUCUGCACUGUCACUGAGGUUAGGGAUUAUUACUCACUGCAACUUAGCCUAGCAUUAAUUUGCUUGACUAAUACAAGUUUCAAUAAAUGUUGCUCCAUUUC